GGUACAUAUAUAUAAUAGAAUAUUACUCAGCCAUAAAAAUGAAUGAAAUUGGCAUUUACAGCAACAUGGAUGUAGUUACUGUAACGGACCUAGAGAUUAUCAUACUGAGUGAAGUUUCUCAGACAGUGAAAGACAAACAUCAUAUCAUAUCCUAUAUUUGGAUUCAUUAACCACUGCGCCACGACGGAAACUCCCUAUCACAACAUUUUAAAUCAACUGUUUUCCUCUUACCAACUGUUCUAUACCUCCUGAGCCCUGGGAGAACACUGUUGGUCAUGUCCCUCCUCAGAAGUUCAAGCACCAGCUGCAUGGAAUUUCUUCCCAGAGGCCCAAGCACUAACUCUGUACGGCCCUUACUCCUAGCUCGUAGUGUCUGGUUAAGGGCCUUUUCCAUAUGUUCUGCAGGCUUGAGAGUGGUUGCUGCUUCUUACAGUCAUAAAUUUCUGGGCACCGCAGCAUCCGCUUUUUGCUCUCUCAGGCUUUUGUCUUCUGAAUAACAAGUUCCCUGUAAUUCUAACUAUUUAUGCUUUCUGUUUUCCUUCCUGUAAGUAGGUAUUCUGGUCCAUCUUCUUCCCCUGGUUGAUCUUGGUCUGUCUUGACUCAUUUAUAUCCCUCAAGAUGCAUAUUCAACUUCCUGUUUGCUGUUUAUAUUUUAAAGUCUGAUAGACUAUCUUAUCAAAAAAUGAACUUCUCUUGCACAAUCUAUUUCUCUGUCAGAAUUAUGUAUCUCAGUAAAUGGUACCUCUAUCCAUUCAUUUGUUUAGUCUUCAUAUUCUAGAAGUCAUCUUUGCUCUCUGAUUAUUCACAUGCAGUGCAUCAGUAUGCCAUGUUGGUUCCAUCUCCAAAACCUCAUUCCCUUCUAUUGCUUUCCAUCUCAUGUCAUUACCCUGAUCUAGAUCAUCAUUAUCUAUCAUUUGGCUACUACAGUAGCCUUCUGAGUAGUCUUCAUUCAACUCUUGCCUUCCUGGAGUCAUUUUUCUACAUCAGAGCCAUAUCAUUAAGAUAUAAAUCACAAUGAAAAUUAAAUCCGCACUCCUUACCACGAUCCUAUAAGAUCUGGUUCCUGCCAGCACUUCCAGUCGCAUCCCCUAUCAAAAUCUGCUUGCACUACCCAUACUCUAGAGUUAGAGGCCUCUUUUCUGUGUCAUGCCACAUAAAGCUGUUUAUAGACUAAGGUCCUUUGAAUUCAUUGCCUCACCUAUCAAGAAGUUUCUUCUACUGGUUGUUCACAUGGUCUCAAUGCUCAUAUCAUCCUACUUUUUCUAAAGUAGCCUUCCUUCCCUAAUUUCUCUCUAUUAUAAAGUCCAAUUAAUCUCCUUCAUACUCUUAUUUUGAUUGUUGAUUCUUUCCUUUGUUUGCUAUCCAACCACAUGGGGCCCUUGCUAUUUUUGUUGCAUCUGCAAUAUCUCCUGCACCUGGAGCAGUCUCUAUUCUCUAAAAAUUGCUCAGUAGAUCUAUGUUGACUAAAUUAAUAAAUGACUGUUUUUAGUAUCCUUUUUUUAAAAUAAUCUAACAUCAAAGUCCUUAUAUACUUUCAAGUAUAUAAAAUUUUCUACUACAUUGGAAUGAAAAUAUAUAGAAUUAGAUUCAUCUUCCACCUACAUUUUCUUUGGAUAAAUAAUACAUGAAUAAGUAAGUCAAAGAUAAAGAUAUACCAGAAUGUAUGAGAUUUUUGGAGUUCCCAUCUUGGCUCAGUGGUAAUGAACCUGACUAGUAUCCAUGAGGAUGCAGAUUCAAUCCAUGGCCUCACUCAGUGGAUUGAGGAUCCGGAGUUGCCCUGAACUAUGGUGUAGAUCACAGAUCUGCCUCAGAUCUGACGAUGCUGUGGCUGUGGCAUAGGCCUGCAGCUAUAGCUCUGAUUUGACCCUAGCCUGGGAACUUCCAUAUGCUAUGGGUGCAGCCCUAAAAAGCCAAAAAAGAAAAAAAAAGAAUGUGUGAGAUUUUCACAACAGCGAGAUUCAUGGCCUUUAAAAAUAUGUAGAACAAGAUGAAACAAAUGUUUUCAGUGGAUGUUCAGGUGCUCUUUUCUAAAAAUAACAUAGUAACCACAAAUCAAUGUUUAAAGCCAGAUGGUUAAUGAAGGCCAGCCAGGAAACUCCCAUAAUUCACAGUAAUGAGUAUGGUAAUGAGCUCCCAUUAUAAACCAAACUGCAGUAUGACACACUGUAUCUAUUUCAAAUAACAGUAAUUUGAUUGUCUCAUAUUUUUCAAAGCUCCAAAGCUUAAUUUAUUGGAAAAAAUGUUAGAAAGCCUGAUUGAUGGAACUAAUAAUGCCCAAUUUGUCAAUGGAAUGUGGCCUAAAUUUUAUUAACAAAACCUGUUCAAAUGUCAGAUGUCAUCAGAAAGAAAACAAUAUUCAAACUCAAAUGAAAAUUAAGGUAUUUCAAAACAUGAAAGAAGUCCCAUUACUAUGGUUGAAAAGAAAUGUUUUUUUCUUCAGCUCUUUGAUGUCUUUAAAUAGGACCCUAGCGAGGUAGGUUCUGUUGAACAAAAUGUUUUAGGGACCUGGCUACUAUAGAAAAAUGCUAUGGAUUAAAUUUUAUUUUAGUAUCAAAAACACAUGUUUAUUUUUACACUUAAAAUUCACCUUGAUCUCAGAGAGGUAGUCUUAAAAGGCAUUCCCAGUUACCCAGAGUGACAUGAGCAGGAGCACAUUGCAUAUGCAGACAAUUUAAUAGGAUUACCUAGACGGUUCUCCUUUUGAGUGACAUGUCACACUCUUCUUUUGAAAGGAUGGAAUCUUCACAGUCAAGAAUUGAGAAAGCAAGGGCUGCAAUAUAUAUCCUGAUUUCCAUCUAAUGUAAAGUUGGCUGCUCGUAUAUCAUAUGUUUGGAAUAUAAGCCUUUACAAUUGAUGGGUAUAUUUGAUGUGCUAUAUUUAUAUGUUUUUUAAAUUAAACUGUUAUUUGCUUGUAAGAAUUCUAAACCACACUUCUCCCAAAAAUGUAACGAGAAUAUAGACAGUCAUGCUUGGACAAAUUCUGAUCUUUUAUAAGAUUUCUGAGUUGAUCUUAGUUAUAUUUACUGAGGGCUGGAAGUUUAUUUUCUGAAGUGUGUAAGACAGAAGGUCUCUGGUCUGGGAGCAAAAAGGAAAAAUGGAAGGUGUGAGUAUUAUAUUGAAAAUCGAAUGAUCAAGUUAAUUUAGCCAUUUUCUCCUACUCAGCUCCCCAUAUACUGGUAGCCAGGCCUUCAUCAUCCAGAGAAGAAAUUAAAGGUCUCUAGAAAAUAAUACAAACUCAAGAGGAAGUUCCAAAGAUGCUGACAUCAGAAAUUUCUUGAAUAAAUAGCCCAACCUGAUCUACCUAAAUGAGAUUCAAUCUUAAGGCCCACUAAUGCACUCAAAGAGACCAGUGAGAUUUUUACAAAACUACAAAAUAUGAAAAGACAAUAUAUGUCAAAUAUGAGAAGACAAUAGUAUAUAUGCGUAUAUAAUUAUAUAUAAAGUAUUAAAAUAUAUGUGAAGACAGAAACACCAUAAAAUAUGAUAAGAUGAUUAAGGGUUAUCAGACAUUGAAAACCAUUAUAUAAUUUGGAAGACAGAGACAAAAACAAAUAGAUAUAAAGCAAUUUGGAGGCAAGAGACCAUGCAGAAAAAAAAAAAAAAAAAAA
ensembl:lncRNA